UACGGAGGGGGCUAGCGUUGUUCGGAAUUACUGGGCGUAAAGCGCACGUAGGCGGCUUUGUAAGUUAGAGGUGAAAUCCCGGGGCUCAACCCCGGGCGUGCAGUGGAUACGGGCUGGCUAGAGGCAGGCAGGGGAGAACGGAAUUCCCGGUGUAGCGGUGAAAUGCGCAGAUAUCGGGAGGAACACCGGUGGCGAAGGCGGUUCUCUGGGCCUGUACUGACGCUGAGGAGCGAAAGCGUGGGGAGCGAACAGG
rnacentral:rRNA from 1 species